CUGCUCCGCAGGGACGUAGAGAGCCGCAGGCCCAAGGAGGGGCCGCCCCCGCCGAGCCCGCCCCUCCGCCCCAGCGCGGCCUGUCACCGCGGCCCCAGGUCGGGGGCUGCCGCAGGGCCCCCGGGGACCGGAGGGGCGCGCGAGGAGUCGGGCGCGGGCCUUGGGGCCAGGCCCGUCCCUCUUUCACAUGAAGCCCGGGCCGGGCGGGGUGGCGGGCGCGUGAAUCCUCGCAGCCGGCCGGGUCCUCCUGGCGCUCCUCGGCACUUCUAGCCGCUGCAACCCCGAGGCCCGCGGGAACUGGGCAGGAAAGGAGGAAGCCGCGGGCCCGCGUCGCUAGAGACCGGAGAAGAGGCGGGAGUGGCGACUCUGCGGACAGGGGCGCCGAGCGUCCUGGUCGUUGUUUUCGUCGCCGCCGCGGGCCGUGCAACCCCCGAACGCUGCGCCCAGCGGCCGCGGCACCCUCGUCAGGCGCCGCCGCUGAGGGCAGGCAGCCCGGCAGCCACUACACACGGACCCGUGACGUCGGGCGUAGCGCGGCGCACGUCACGGCCGCUCGCUCGUGCGCGCGCACCCCUCCGCCCGGCGGUAGCGGAACCCGCCGCGGGCGCGCGCCCGGCCCAGGGGAGUGGGUCGGCGCCUGCGCAGAGGCCCGCCACGCCCACACACAGGCCACCGCCCCCACCGGCCGGACGGCGCGGGGAUUCCCAGUCCUGGCUCCGCCCCGGCCUCGGCCCCGCCCCCGCCCCUGCCCCGGGGCAGCCUGUGCUGUUCCGUGUGCGCGGCGCAUACGCACCUGGGUUGUCUCGAGCCUGCGGUAGUGGCCAGAUCCCAGACAUCCGAGUAGAUCCCGUGAAAAGGUCUCCCACGUGGGCUGUGGACAGGGCCCAAGGGUAGCAGAGCUAGCAGAGGCAGUGACGGACUGUGUGGCAGGUCAUUUGCAAGGAGAAAAGCCGUCUGCCUCUUAAUUUGUGGCUCAAGUUUCAGAAUUUUUUUCCUGAGGGACUUUAGAAAUUACUUCAGGCUUGCCACCUAACCUUAAACCACCCCCUUGGAGACUGGCUAAGUGUUAUUUGUGUUUUCUGUUUAGUUCUUAUCACCAUCGAUACUUGGUUAUGACUGGUUGUGUACAUUGGUUAGCCCAGCAAGUAUUACUUCUCCAGCUUAACAGAUGUGGAAACUUAAGCCCAGAGACAUGAGUUGACACCCCACCCCCAAAGCUAGAGUCUAAAACCCUUUCUUUCGCUCCUCAUCUCCCACAGGAUAAAAUGCAAAUUAAUCAGACUAGUGGUGAGGCCCUCCGUGGUGUGACUAACCUGCAUCCCGACGUUUUCACCCUACUUUGAUCCAGAAAGCACCUUUCCGCCCCAUCUCUUCUCCUUUCCUUAAAUACCCCUUACAACUUCCUGUACCAUUCUUCCCUGUUCAGCUUCUUCUUGGUUUCUUCGUACAUUCUGGAUCCACCCCUUUCAUGCAUAUUCCAGACCACAUUUCCACUGGAGCAGUUGAAAUGAGAGAGAUGGGAAUGGGACUCACCCGAACCAGAGGAAUUUUUAUUACAGACCCAUUAACAGAGGUGUCAAAGUCACAGGAACAAGGAUGUGCACCUCAGAAACACAGAGGUCAGUGGAAAAUCAGUUUGCUUCUAUUUGUUUAAAAAAUGGGGGACUUAUGCAUAAAUCUAAGACCUUCUUGAAUCUAACAUUCUAAGACCUGUAUGCCACAGAAAGGAGGGUCUCAGAACGCCGGAGGAUAGUAUUUAAAUCUUAAAUAUCUAUAUUGUUCUCCACAGUUACUGGGUCACCACAUAGCAGGCAUUCAAUAAAAACGUGUUUGUUUACUAAGUAAUCUAGAGAUAAAUUUUUU
rnacentral:lncRNA from 1 species